UGGCAAGGAGUUGGUUUGUGACAUCAUAAAGCCAUGGAGGAUGUGACCCUAAGGAUGUCCCAUGACAACCAAAACAUGGCUGUGCUGUGCCAUGCUGCUAUCAUCUGACAAUUCCCUACUUGCCACCGAUGGGAUUCUGCACAGCUCUGCUUUCAAAGAGAUUUUCUGGAAGCUAUAUUAUUUAUGGAUGAUACUAAACUAGGAGGAGUGUUGACUCCCUUGAUGAUAGAGAGGUGCUGAACCAAAAUCUUGAUAAAUUCAAGGGAGGUUGCCACCUGCAUGAAGAAGAGCGAGUGCUGGAUUCUGCACCAGGUGAUAUUGUAAUUUGAGAUUGGAGCAAUUCACUAUAAAAUUUGAAGAUAAUUGAGAGAACAUCUUCAGGAAGAUAGCUUAAGUGUCUCUGCAUAAUGAAAUAUGACUGACUUGCGGAAUCAAACUCCAUAACCACAAAGGCUAUCAAGAUCUUUAGAACAGUUGGAUUCUGAAUAUAAAGAAAAUGUCUGAGUUUCCUAAUCACAAAGCAUAGUUCCUGGUUAAGUCAAGGCUAUCGUCAAGAUUAAAUGCUACAUAAUUUUCAGAAUAUUCAAUCUGGCCGCUACACUACAACUAAAUGAAAUGCAGUGAAUAAAUUAUCUUUCUUCAGCCAUGGAGU